rnacentral:rRNA from 1 species
GUACACGCUGUGACUAGCAUAUCAAUAAGCGGAGGAAAAGAAACUAACAAGGAUUCCCCUAGUAACGGCGAGUGAAGCGGGAAGAGCUCAAAUUUGAAAUCUUAAAGGGUUUCCCUUUACGAAUUGUAGUUUAAAGAAGUGUUUUCUGUUGAGGUUUUGGUAAAAGUUCUCUGGAAUAGGACAUCAUAGAGGGUGAGAAUCCCGUAUUUGACCUUUACUUUCAACUUUGUGAUACACUUUCAAAGAGUCGGAUUGUUUGGGAAUGCAGUCCAAAAUGGGUGGUAAAUUUCAUCUAAAGCUAAAUAUUGGCGAGAGACCGAUAGGCGAACAAGUACCGUGAGGGAAAGAUGAAAAGAACUUUGAAAAGAGAGUUAAACAGUACGUGAAAUUGUCAAAAGGGAAGCGUUUGACACCAGUGUUGUUUUUCUGAAAAUCAAUUAAAGAACUGUUUAUGCUAAGUUGUUUAGACUUUAUCAGCUAACUGUUUAGUUUUGAGCUUUUCUUUAAUGCACUUUUCAGUUAACAAGUCAACAUCAAUUUCUUUUGCUGUAAAAAGGCUUGAGGAAGGUGGCUUGAGAUUCGUCUUAAGUGUUUAUAGCCUCUUGCCUAUGCAGUCGGAGAGAUUGAGGUCUGCAGCGUAGAUCCUUCGGGGCUAAAUGCAUUUGUGCUAAGUUAUAGCAUUUUAUAGACAACUUGUUGACUAUGAUUUGUCUUGUAGCUUACUCGCUUAUGUUAUUUUACCUACGCUUAGGAUGUUGAAGAUGUAGCACAUCAU